GAAUAAGCCUCUUGCCUGCUUGCUGAUAUUUCUGGUAUCUUGAUUAAUCACAUGGCUGUCCUAUAUCAGCAAUUUUUAAUCUAUAAAUUCACAGCUCCAGAGAGUUAAUGUGAGAUUAUCCAGACACUGUUCAAAGGGCCAGCUAUCAAGGAAACAAAGGAGCCUCUUCAUUGGGGGCAUGUUAAAAAAAAGAAAAAACCACAGAAGAGCAUCCCCAGGACUUCAGAGACUAUAAAUAUAAUUCAGAAAGCUUUUGAAAAAAUGGAGUUUAGGAAACGGUCAUUCUGCAAGAGAAAUGAACAGCUACGAAAAGUACACAAGCGCUGAUUUGAAAUUCUUUGCUCAAGUCACUUAACCACAACAAAUGUAAGAGUGAAGGCCAAAGAGUUACGCAGAACACAUUGUCCAUUACUGUUCUUAACAUUUGUCCUUGAUAAAAGUUUUCCA